rnacentral:rRNA from 1 species
GACGAACGCUGGCGGCGUGCUUAACACAUGCAAGUCGAACGGAAAGGCCCUGCUUUUGGGGGGUGUUCGUGUGGCGAACGGGCGAGUAACAAGCGAGUAAUCUGCCUUUGAUUUUGGGAUAACUUCAGGAAACUGGGGACAACAACGGAUAGGAGCGCCCGAUGCAUGGUGGGGGUUGGAAAGUUUCGGCGGUUGGGGAUGGUCUCGCGGCAUAGCAGCUUGUUGGUGGGGUAGUGGCGUACCAAGGCUUUGACGGGUAGCCGGCCUGAGAGGGUGACCGGCCACAGUGGGACUGGGGGACGGCCCAGAGUCCUACGGGAGGAAGCAGUGGAAAAUAUUGCACAAUGGGCGGAGUCCUUAUGCAGCACCUCCGCGUGCUGAAUGUCUGCCUUCGGGUUGUAAACCGCUUUCGCCUGUGACGAAGCGUGAGUGACGGUAAUGGGUUAAGAAGCACCGGCUAACUACGUG